rnacentral:rRNA from 1 species
UACGUAGGGUGCGAGCGUUAAUCGGAAUUACUGGGCGUAAAGCGUGCGCAGGCGGUUUUGUAAGCCAGAUGUGAAAUCCCCGGGCUCAACCUGGGAAUGGCAUUUGGGACUGCAAGGCUCGAGUGCGGCAGAGGAGACUGGAAUUCCUGGUGUAGCAGUGAAAUGCGUAGAUAUCAGGAGGAAUACCGAUGGCGAAGGCAGGUCUCUGGGCUGACACUGACGCUCAUGCACGGAAGCGUGGGGAGCAAACAGG